rnacentral:rRNA from 1 species
UACAGAGGGCGCGAGCGUUGUCCGGAAUCACUGGGCGUAAAGGGCGCGUAGGUGGCCACCAUAAGGCCGCGGUGAAAGUUCGGGGCUCAACCCCGGAUCGGCCGCGGCGACUGUGGGGCUCGGGUACUGUAGAGGCAGAUGGAAUUCCGGGUGUAGCGGUGGAAUGCGUAGAGAUCCGGAAGAACACCAGUGGCGAAGGCGGUCUGCUGGGCAGUGGGAUCGGAAGGUCCCUUCGAACCGACACGU